UUUGGACUGAAGGGAGCUCC
rnacentral:snRNA from 1 species